rnacentral:rRNA from 1 species
AGGGCACCACCAGGAGUGGAGCCUGCAGCUUAAUUUGACUCAACAUGGGAAAACUCACCCAGCCUGGACACGGACAGGAUUGACAGAUUGAUAGCUCUUUCUCGAUUCCACGGGUGGUGGUGCAUGGCCUUAGUUGCUGGAGUGAUUUGUCUGGCUAAUUCCAAUAACGAACGAGACUCUGGCAUGCCAACUAGUUAUGUGACCCUGGAGCGGUCGGCAUCCCCCAACUUCUUAGAGGGACAAGUGGCGUUCAGCCACCUGAGAUUGAGCA